UCCCUUCAGGCAGGAAGAGCCAACAGUGCCCAGCUUUCACUCCUGGCCAGGAGGGCCGGCCCCAGCACAUCCCACAGUGUCUUGGUCCCCAGGGACCACAGUGGCCCAGGCCCAGGAUUUGCCCUCCACGCUGCCCAGCCCCCGUGAGGCACAGCCAGACAACCCCAGGAUCCCACCUUCUAGGUGGCCGUAGCCCCUGGGAGCCACACCCAGGCAGGGGUGCUGCUGCGUGCCCCGCCUCUCAUUCAUUCCAUAGGUGAACUCUUGGCAGAGGGCGCGUGGCCACCUGGCACUGCACCCCUGCCCUCUGGCCGGCCCCACGCUGGGCCCCUGCUCCAGCGCCACAUUUCCUCGCCUCUCAGCCUCCUCCUCCUCCGGGGUUGCUGUGGAGAGGCCCGGGGUGACCAGCCAUGGUGCAGGCCACACAUGUCGUCUGAGGGCUGCAGGUUUAAAACAACCAACCUUCCGCCAGCCGGGUGUGACGUUCUAGGGGCCCAGCUUAACCCCCGGGUCUUGGGAGGCGUCCGAUGACUGGGAACCCACUGCCCUCCCUGAGGAGCCGUGACCAGCUGGCCAUGAGUCUGGGGCUUCAUAGGGCAGUGGACAGGCCCCCCCCCGUCACCUGGCCCCAGCAAUAUCCGCAGUUCGGACCACACACCGCAGGCUGUGGCAACGCAGACCACGGUAGACUCACCUCCGCACAGAUCGGAAUUUGUGUAGCCAAAAACCUAGAUGGCGGCAGGGGAGCCCGGGGAGCGGGAAGGGUCUCACGGAAGGUGAGCUGGGCUCCCGAGCCUACUGCAUGGGCGGGUCCAGCUCAGCCAUGCACCUGGGACAGGUGAACUCCAGGACUCACCUGGGGAGGGGCCAGAGAGGACAAGAGAACCUGGGGCCCUUUAGCCCAAUGACACGGGGGCAGGGGAGGGACACGGGGCUUUGGGCCAGGAGGCGGCUCUGGUGGGCACAGUGCUCGGCCACAGGUGCUUUGCCCUUUGUCCCUGCAGGCCCCGUGGGGGUGAGCGGGCGCUGGGCCGCCCAUGUGUUCCUACCGUGUCAGCAGUGGGGCUCGACUGGUAAGGUGUGUUUCCAUUAGGUCAGUCCCCAUGUGGGGAAAGAGCCUCCUCACCUCCCUGCCGCCAGAGUAGGCUCCAGACGUGCGCCAGGUACCAUGGGAAAAGGAGAAGGCCAGGACCCGGGAGGAGGAGGCCAUGAAGAACCUGCUAAGGUUGAGAGGCGGCUGCAGCGGAGCCCUUGCUCUGCACAGCCGAGGCCCUGGGUUCCAGCCCCGGUGCCAAAACCAGAAAGUCACUUGUCAAAAUUCCUAAGAUUAAAUUUAAAAGGAAGACGGCCACCCGUGGAAGGCUUGUUUUUGACCACAGACUUUUCGUUGACAGAUGGGGGCAGGAGAUCUCAACAAGUGCUCACUGAGCACCUACUAAGUGCCAGGGCUGGAGGUCCUCCAGGGCCACAGGACCUUGUCCCCGUCUCCAUGCUGUCUCUGUCCCCAGGAGAGAGAGACAUCAUUCUAUCCACACAGGCAGAUGUGCGGGCAGCCGUGGAGGGAAGGUGCCCAGGGCUAUGGGGAGACCUGGCCAAGGCUGGGCAGUCUGGGGAGGGGCAGGGUGGCGCUGGCGCAGCAGGCAGAGGCUGGAGGGCCCCUCCACCGGCUUCGGGAGCCCUCCUCCAGGGCUGAGGCGGGGCGGAUGCGCCACCCUGCUUGUGGCGUCUUGUAGCUGGAGUGGCCCAGCCAGAGCCCCAGGCAGGGCUUGAAGUCGUGGUCAGACAAGCUCUUGUCACAGGCUGGCAGCAGAGAUGCCCCCUGCCCAGGGCAGCACAGCAGAGGUCUCGAGGUGGCAUUUGGUGGCCAGCCUCUGGGGCCAGCCUCAGUGCUUGUCCUGAGAGCCGCUGGAACCAGGGCAGGCCUCCUGCCUCCUUCCCCAGGGGGCAGCUGCCGGGCACGGAGUCA
rnacentral:lncRNA from 1 species